UUACGGCCAUAUCACAUUGAAACACCAGUCCUCGUCAAAUCACCGAAGUUAAGCAACGUCGAGCCUGGCCAGUGGCUAGAUGGGUGACCACUUGAGUAUAAAAGGUGCUGCAA